GAAGAGCCCUUGGUGGCUGCUGGUCUCCAGUGAAGCUGCUUGCAGAGCUCUUGGGCUGCAGGCUGCCAGGCCAGGGCACCUCUCCUGUGUUGGAGGUGAAGAUCCUGUUUCAUAGCCCUUUCUGUCAGAAUGCUUCAUUCCAGCUGGGAGUGCAAGUCUGCUGAUCUUACGGAAUUCUAGAUAACUUGACCUCUGCAGGCUAUGUGAAAAGCAGUCCUGAGCUAACCUCAACCUCAGUGAAUCAAAAUCUGAUGAAUCGGAAACAGCCCAUCAUACUUGGGUUAAGAUUAUUAUGGAGCAACUCCUCUGUGCAUAGAGGGUGAAGUCUUGAUGCUGGUAUCUGCAGUUUAUGGUUCCUGGAACUGAUUUUUUUCAUACAGAUGACCCAGAAGCUGACAUCCCAAGCCCAUGCCAGGACUGUGGAUUAUACUGCAAUGAGCCAGCAGUAGUUCAAAAAGUUGUCAGUAAGGAAACUGUUSAAGUGCCGCAGCUGCCCUUGGAAAGCCCAAAACAAAGAAAUGAAGACC